GUGCAGGAGGUGACGCUCCUCUGAAGGAACAGAGAGAGGGAAAAGGCAAAAGAGAGGGCUGCAUCUCCAUUGAAACAUUUGGCAAGGAGUCUCAUAGAUACAGAUAGAGUACAGCUGGUCAUAUUUUGGCAGUAAGACAAAGGAAAAGGUGCGGUUUUGUGAUUGAUAGGAAAACGACAGGCAGUUCUCAGGGUGUUUUUUCUGCUUCAUUCCUUUUGCCAUCAACAGCAUGAUCAUAAGUAACACUCGGCAAUAACCAGUAUUUUUUGCAUUUUUGUGCUGGGCGAUACACAUAAAAAAGCAACAAAAUCAUCUUUGAGUGCGAUUGGAUAUACUACACCUCCGUACACCUUUAACAAAGACAGAAAGAAAGCCACUCGGUGAUUGAUCAUUUUUGUGUGUUGUUGGCACACAACCUGCUCAAGGCAAAACUCCUCCUCCCUCCUCAUCCUCCUCCCUCCGGUUUCUCUCAUCUUCUCCCUGCUCCUCCAUCCUCCUCCCCCCUCCCCCCUCCGGUCCUCUAUGCUCAGUUCGGUGUGUGUAUCCUCUUUCAAAGGGCGCAAGGGUGGGAACAAGUCGUCCAACAAAGCAUGUUACAGCGCAGACAUGACUUGUCCGUCGGAAAGCGAGAAAAUCGUGAUAAACUGCGGCGGGGUGCGCCAUGAGACGUACCGGAGCACCUUGAAGACAUUGCCGGGCACCCGCCUGUCGUGGCUCACCGAGCCGGACGCCUUCAGCAACUUCGACUACGACCCCAAAUUGGACGAGUUCUUCUUCGACCGCCACCCGUCCGUCUUCUCGUUCAUCCUCAACUACUACCGCACAGGCAAGCUGCACUGUCCCAACGACGUGUGCGGCCCCUUGUUCGAGGAGGAGCUCGCCUUCUGGGGCAUCGAUGAGACGGACGUGGAGGCGUGCUGCUGGAUGAACUACCGCCAGCAUCGGGACGCCGAGGAAGCGCUGGACAGCUUCGAGACGCCCGAGCCGGACGCGCCGGACGACGACCCGGCUCUGGGGGGCGCCGAUGGGGACCUGAAAAGACUGUGCAUGCAGGAGGACGCCAGGAGGGCGGGCUGGUGGAAAACCUGGCAGCCUAAAAUAUGGGCGCUCUUCGAGGAUCCUUAUUCAUCCAAAUACGCCCGGUAUGUGGCGUUUGGUUCCCUAUUCUUCAUCCUCAUCUCCAUCUCCACUUUCUGCAUGGAGACGCAUGAGGCCUUCAACACCAUCCUCAACAAGACGGAGAAUGUCACGGUGGGCAACGUGACGCGCGAGGAGAUUGUCUACGAGGUGGUAACCGACAGCUGGCUGACAUACGUGGAGGGCGUGUGCGUCAUCUGGUUCACCAUCGAGGUCCUGCUGCGAGUCAUCUUCUGCCCAGACAAGUUCGAGUUCUUCAAAAGCACCCUCAACAUCAUCGACUUUGUCGCCAUUCUGCCCUUCUAUCUGGAGGUGGGCUUGAGUGGUCUGUCCUCCAAAGCUGCCAAGGACGUCCUGGGGUUUCUCCGGGUCGUGCGUUUCGUCCGCAUUCUCCGAAUCUUCAAGCUGACCCGCCACUUUGUAGGCCUGCGUGUCCUUGGACACACCCUUCGCGCUAGCACCAAUGAAUUCCUCCUGCUCAUCAUCUUCUUAGCCCUCGGUGUCCUCAUUUUCGCCACCAUGAUCUACUAUGCCGAGAGAAUCGGCGCUGACCCGGAUGACCCGACGGCGAGCGCCCACACCAACUUCAAGAAUAUCCCCAUUGGUUUCUGGUGGGCCGUGGUGACCAUGACCACCCUGGGCUACGGAGAUAUGUACCCGGAGACGUGGUCGGGGAUGUUGGUGGGCGCUCUGUGUGCCUUGGCUGGUGUGCUGACCAUCGCUAUGCCCGUUCCUGUAAUUGUCAACAAUUUCGGCAUGUACUACUCUCUGGCCAUGGCCAAACAGAAGCUGCCCAAAAAGAAGAACAAACACAUUCCCAGAGCACCCCAGCCGGGGUCUCCCAACUACUGCAAGCCGGACGCCCUGGCCAUGGCUACUGCAUCGCCGCAAAGGCUCUUGGGGAAUGUCCUAGGCGGCGUGAUGGGUUCUGGAGGCAUUGGGGGUGACUGUCCUCUCGCCCAGGAAGAAAUUAUAGAGAUCAACAGAGAUUCCAAACAGAACGGCGAUGCAGCCUCGGCUGCGUUGGCCAAUGAAGACUGCCCCACCAUCGACCAGGUGCUCAGCCCAGACGAGAGGAGCCCCAUCGGGCGGGGUCCUACCCGGGAACGCUACCAGCAGGACCGCGCCUGCUUCCUGCUUAACACCAGGGAAUUCCGAGCCACAGAUGGGAAUGUGCGGAAAGGUUGUGUCAUAUCACGCGUGUGUAUGUGGGCUCUUUCAUUCCUACAUGUUUUUUACGCGCACACCGUGUCUCUGUCCUCUCGAUUGCUGUCUGAGUGUUGUGUUCGUGUUGUCGUGUGUGUGGCUUACUUUUUGUUUGUCUUUUAACCUCUUUUUUACAAAAAUGUGUUUAGCCGAGUGAAUCCCCUCCCCCAACAGAUCUCAGGCUUGGUAAAAACAAGCAAAACCCCCCCCCCCAAAAUAAAUAUUCCAGGAAUAUAACAAUAUUGUGCCUUAAAUUAAAAAAAAUGUUUAUUUGUGCAUGCACUCUGGCACAGGUUAGCUGUACACAAACGCAAAAGUAUUGGGGCACCUGGCCAUGGCAGACACACUGGGCAAAAGUAAACUAGUGUCCUGUUUGAAUUAAUUUUUCUCAUAUUUUUAUAUAGUAAAUUGCCUAUACCUAUAAAAUAGGUUCAAAUAACAAGGUAGACAGGUUACAAAAUAACAUAAAUUGUGGAUGCUGCAACUGGAUGCCAAAAAAUCUACAUACUAUUGUUUUUAUUUCAUUCCCCUCGUUUUAAUUAAAUGUUUUUGAACUACAUUUCAUUCAUUGGUUUAAUUAUUAACAUAUUAAAUACAAUUAAAAAUAUGUUAUUAUUUUAGAAAUAUACAUUAUAAAUGAUAUAUAUUUUAAAAUAAUCAUAUAAAAUAUUAUUUGACAUUUAUUAUAUAUAUUUUUAUAUUUUAUACUAACAGUAAUACAGUCAAACCUGGGUUUUUGUUCGUUUUGUUUCCAGUUUUUGUCCAAAUUUUUCAUCGACAUUUUGCCUUAGUUUUUGUACACUGUCCUGGUUUUUUAAUUAUAAAUUUAAUAUUUGAAUUAUUUUUAGUGUCUGGAACAGAUUAAUUGGAGUUUUUGCACGUUUUGUUUUUUGUUUAAACUUUUAGUACAAAUAACAAAUACAGAGGUACCACUGUAGUAUAACACAAAAUAUAAUAAAAUUUAAAAUAAAUAAUUAUUACACCAAUCGUCAAAGGGAAAUAAAAUAAAAUUGAAAUUAAAUAAAAAAUUAAAUUAAUUAAUUGAAUUUAAUACAAAUUCUAAAUGCAUUACAAAAAGUAUAGUUUAAGGUCACAAAUAGUUUUUAAACAUUAAUACUUUUAUACAUUUCUUAAUUUUAUUUAUAAGGUCACAUUAAAUAGCUUUUAAUCUUUUAUACUUUUAUACAUUGUUUAAUUUUAUUUUUGGAUAUAAUGGUUGUAAUUCCUAAAUGAUCAUGUUUUUUGUGAAACCUCGAUUAAAGCUGACAAUCUUCUCUUCAGUCACUUAAAUCCAACUGGAAUUUGUAUUAUUAUAUUAAUUUUUAUUAAUAUUUAUGAUCUAUAUUUGAUUAAUUUAGCCAAAUACUUUUUGACAUGUGGUCAUUACAGCUUACUUUGAUAAAACGUCAAUAAUGGUGGCCUCAGACUUUUGCACAGCAUUGUUACAAUAGCUUACACUAUGGGAAGAUCACUCCCAUUGUGUAUAAAAAGUCCCUUGCUCACAUUUUGUUUGCUCUAUCAGUCCAUUGAGGUGGGACUUUGAGUGCCGUGUUGUUCAAAGCUGCUAAUGUUCCAAGGCCCAUGGUCUGUGGGGUGAGGAGAGACACAAAGCUCAAAGGGGACAGUACUUCUUGAAACACAACACGCUGACGACAAGCUAAAGUCACUGAAUGCACCACCUCAGCACGGUUCUGUGCUGUCAAAAAAGAUCUAAUGCAGUGUUGUUGGCGUGUAAUGCUUCAGAAAUACUAUUCCUCAGACCCGGUGUGAAGGAGCUUUCAGUGCCUACAGCGCAGCCCCAAAAGCUUCUUUGCUUCCUGUGUUGCUGGCUAUGAAAAAAAUAAAAUACAAGCUGGGCGCUACACUUGGUCACUGAAAGACAUACAUUACCAGACUACACACACGGGCAGGUAGAAAUAAAUUAAAAAAAAAGGUACAACAAGGUAAGCAGACAUUGCUACAUGACAGUAUUGAUGAUAUUUUUGUACAGAUAAGCGCAAAAAAAUCCCUCUUUAAAGCAAAUCAGGAUUUUUAAUUAAGGGACAGCAAACAUGUCACCACAGAACUAUAUUUAAUCAAUUAAACAAAGAUGCAAAAAAGUAUCAUAUGGUACAUUUAAAAAAAAUGGUGUUCACAUGAAUAGUCCUGUUUUUAAAGAGGGAUUCCAAGUUAUCCUUGUGUGCUGCAGGUUUCAUUUAUUUUGUAGAUAAACGCUUUUCAAGGUGUCUUUUAUUUUUUGAAAAAGCUUUAAAUGUUUCUUCAAGUUUGAUUGUGGGCCAUCUGGCUUCCUGUGCUCUAAAUGCAAAUAUAUGCAUGGCUAACGUACAGUAGGUUCAAUGCUCCCUAUAUGAUUGUUGACCACUACUGGAUACCUUCUGCAACAAGGACCUCCAUCUUGUUAGCUCUGUCUGUGUGUCUUUCCCCUUCUUUCUCUUUGCGUUGUCAUUAUUUGUGUGCAACCUGUGUGUCAUUGUAUUAUUUUCUUGUUUUCUUUCUGUGUGAUUAUUUACAGGGUUUUUUGUAUGGUGUGUUCCGUUUGUGUGUUGUAGAUUUUAUAAAGACUAAGUUACGUGUAUUUCGAUUUUUUUUCAUUGUUGUUGUUCCUGUUGUGUUCUGCUUUGAGUUUUAACAUGACUUACCAUAUAGCACAUCCAACAUUAAAUAACACCAAAAUUGUAGAAACAACAUACGUAAUUGUUAGUAUUUUUUUUUUACAUUUUAUAGAAUACACGCACCACCCGGAUAUUACACAUUUUCAACAAUUCACACUGACUACUGAUAGAUUUGUUUUCUUCAAGACCAGCAUUUUUAUUGGCCAUUGCAACAUAUCUAUGGUGUCUACACACGUUUAAUUAUUCAUUAUUAGCAUUUGUAAGAGACUCCAACCAACUACAGUAUUAUUGUUUUUGUUUCAAUUAGCUUGUAACACUUGUCUCCAUUGUCAUAUCACCUCAUCACAAUUCUUUCUGCAAAUAUGACUUAUUCUGAGCCAGAUUUCUUUAAAAUAAUUGAAAAAUAAAAUAUAAUAUCGACUUCCGCCACAAGAUUGGGCCGAUCUGGUUGCCGUAUAAUGUUCGUAACUCUGGGCCACACUCCAACAUGGUAAGUGCGGUAAUGCGCCUCAAAGCCUGUUGCCACUCGACUCUCGCUACCCGCAAGAAGAAGAAAACGCAACACCACCAUGCAGACAUGUCCGCGGUGUACCAUGGUGAAGUUAGUUUCAAAUUGGACGUUGGGUAGUCGGCUCCGUAGCUACAGCGGUAGUUCCCCAUCACUGUGCCUGGACUGCUGUGGCGGACCUAUGUGGCGGCUGUGGCCACCCAUGGUCACUCUCCGGCCACCUCAUUGGCCAUCUAGACAUUUCAGGUAUCAAUUUAUUGCCACCUCUAUGUGAGUAAUGGUCUCACCUUGGCAUGAAAAAUGUCGGGCUCCACCACUGCUCGCACGGAAAGUGCUGCUCUCACCACUGGUUGUUGUAUUAGUAUUUUUUAGUAGUAUUUAUUAGUAUUUUGCACGUUCAUUUUUUCCAAUUUUAUCUCUUAUUGGAUGGACUUUUAUUGGAUUAUGGGCCUGACUCACAGAGGUUUGUUACAAAAGCCAAACAAUAUUUUUGGUUAUGCUGUGUAACAAAAAAGUAAAUCCAGCAAUAAUUUGGUUGCAUUAUUUUUAAUGCUUUGAAGAGCUAUUUCAUAAAGGAUCGGUACCACAUCAGAUAUACUGUAUAUACAGGGUGUCCCAAAAAACGUCUACACACUUUAAAUAUUGUAAACUACUUGUUUAUUAUAAUUUGUUCAAUUUUUACUGAUAACAAAAGCGAUCACAAAAGCCAAUCACCUGUGGCUUGCACUAUUGCAGCCCUCAGCGACCCUUUCGUGCAGUGUAGUGUCUUGACCUAACUAACGUCUUUGGCAAGGUCGUCCUCACACUUCCUUCAAAACAAAAACAAUCACGUCCGGAACCUAACUGCUAACACAUGCCACGAAAAAUACCUGGUGAGGGUAGCACGUUAAAAGCAUUUGAAGAACAACACUCGUAUUAUGGUGAGUUUUGGAGGCUCACGGUCACAGCAGCUAACGUGGCCAUGUUGCUAACACUCGCCCAUAUCCGCGUGAUAACCUGAAAAAUAAUUGAAUUAAUUGGACGAGAUGAGCAGCCUUUCUCAGCGGUGGAAGACACUGGGUUUGCCAAGGUCUCCUUGAAGGCUUCUCAUCCUUUGGAUGUUGUCCUCAAAUAGUAAGUUUUUGUUUAAAUUAAGGUGAUUUUAUGGUUACUUUUUUCAUAUCUUAUAGUAUAUCAUAUGAUAUAUCGGAUAGCAGGGGUGCAGCCAGGAAUUCUGGGUUCCCUGAAAAAAAAUCACAUCGCGCCCCCUCCCCCCUUUAUGAAUUAAUUUCUAAUUUUAUUAGUAAUUACCUAUUUUUUGCCCCCCCCCCGGCAGUCAAGGGACCUUGGAAUUGUCCUGACUUUUCACCCUGGCCAAAAGCACUCAUCAUAAAUAAAUUUUUAAAUGUAUGUUAAUCCUUGUGAUCGGUAAUGGUAUCGGUAGCGGACGAUUUCAGUCCUGGAUGAUCAGUAUCAGAAUCGGCAGCAUAUAUAUAUAUAUCAUAUAUAUCAUAUAUAUAUAUAUAUCACAGUAUACAUUGGUGUGAAAAAGUGUUUGCCCCCUUCCUGAUUUCUUAUUUUUUUGCAUGUUUGUCACACUUAAAUGUUUCAACAAAUUUAAAUAUUAGUCAAUGACCAGAAAACUGAACACAAAAUACAGUUUUUACAUGAAACUUUUUAUUAUUAAGGGAAAAAAAUUCCAAACCUACAUGGCCCUGUGUGAAAAAGUGAUUGACCCCUAAACCUAAUAACUUGUUGAGCCACCCUUAGCAGCAACAACUGCAAUCAAGUGUUUGUGAUAACUUGCAAUGAGUCUCUUACAGUGCUGUGGAGGAAUUUUGGCCCACAAUUGUUGUAAUUCAGCCACAUUGGAGGGUUUUCCAGCAUGAAGCACCUUUUUAAGGUCAUGCCACAGCAUCUCAAUAGGAUUCAGGUCAGGACUUUGACUAGGCCACUCCAAAGUCUUCAUUUUGUUUUUCUUCAGCCAUUCAGAGGUGGACUUGCUGGUGUGUUUUGGAUCAUUGUUCUGCUGCAGAACCCAAGUUGGUUUCAGCUUGAGGUCACGAACAGAUGGCCGGACAUUCUCCUUCAGGAUUUUUUUGUGAAGAUUGCUUUUAUUAUUAUUACCCCAUAUUUCCACACAUCCACACAAUAUGUUAGAUAUGGUAAUACCAAGGAACAGUAAAGAACAGGUAACAGUAAACAGGUUUGGAUUUUUUUCUCCCUUAAUAAUAUAAAGUUUAAUUUGAAAACUAUGUUUUGUGUUCAGUUGUGUUGUCACUGACUAAUAUUUCAAUUUGUUUGAUGAUCUGAAACAUUUAAGUGUGACAAACAUGCCUAAAAAUAAGAAAUCAGGAAGGGGGCAAACACUUUUUCACAACACUGUACUGUACAGUAUAUAGUAUAGCCAAUGGUGAAAAAACAUGAAUAAUUAACUCACCCAUAAAAAGUUCUAAAAAUGCCGAUACUAUAAACCUAUAAUAUGCCUCUCACUGUUAUUAAACACAUUUUAAAUUCAGUUUUACACAUUGAAAACAAUAACAGGCAUACAUACUUUAUAUACAGUACAGUGUUCCCUCGUUUAUCGCCGGGGAUAGGUUCCCAAAAUAGCCCGCAAUAAGUGAAAUCUGCAAGGUAGCCAACUUUAUUUUUUUUACAAUGAUGACAUAUGUUUUAAGGUUGUAAAGCCCCUCACCUAUACUUUAUACACUUUUCUCAGACAGGCAUUAACAUUUUCUCACAUUUCUUUCUUGUUUAAACAUUCUCAAAGUUCAAAUUUCAUUUGAAUUUAAUGAUGAACCUACUAGGUUGGACACAAGAAAUUAUGACUCACUCGUAUUUCACUCCUUUGUGCCAUUUCGUCCUGGCGCCAUUCCGCUGUACUGUAGCCUUUUUGCAUCCUUGUUAAAACAUAUUGCUGUUGUCGUAUUUUACUCCUCCUCCUCGUCCUCCAUGAACCGAAGAUUCAUUUACAGUUUUCCGUAAUGGCGCCCUACAGCCGCAACGUCUACCUUCCUUUAACAUGUCCAGAAGUCCAACUUUUUGUGUGAUGGCUGGCUUCCUCUUCCUUUUGGGUGUAGAACGUUUUGUCGACAUUGUGGAUUUUCGUCGAGGAGAAAACUUGCACAGCAACCAUACAGCGUUCAGAGUAACACGCAUUUAGCUUCUUCUGUUUCUUCUAUUGUAUUGGCAGUUAGCAAGCAGCUCACACAGUUAACUAGUUUACUAGCCAUGACCACAACAAGAGAUGGCACGAAGGAGAUUGAUUGACAAUGGUCUACAGCCAAUCAGGACGCAGAGGACAAAGGGCGGUGCAGACAGAAGAGCAAGAAUAGAGAGACACCGCCGCCUCGUGCUGAACACAAAACUACAACACUCAACUUCCCACAAUGCAAUUCUUCUUAAAGGGCCAGGCUUGGCCUGUGUCAGGGUUCAGCCCAGGGCUGGAACUAGGAUCCUAAGAUGCGUGAGACAGCGGCUGUGUGUGAUAAUAUUCAUUACACACAAUAGCAAAAUACAAACAGAGGAUGCAAAAGUACAAACAAGGAAAAGUGCAACUAAAAAUACCUGGAGAUACACGAGGAAAAAUACUAAUACUCACAAAAGGAGCUACCAAAAAGGGAGUGUUGGAACGGCAAUACCAUAUCCUAAGCUAACAAGGCAGCACUGCAAAAGACAGGGCGGGCUGGAAACAAAAGGACAAACACACUGCAGUAGGCAAGUGUGGCAAAAAACAAAAAACGCAGCGCAAGGCUGGAGAGGAAUGCUGAGUGAAGCAACAGGUAGAAGAUACUGUGGAGUAGAGCCUGAGUUACGGGUUGUUGGCAACAAUCUGGCACCACCAUGCAGGAGCUUUCUGCUUAAGACGAGAACGCUCCUGAUGGGCUGCAGGUGUGUCAAUUAGGACCUCGGUUGCGGAGGAGGAGUGCUGCAAAAGAGCAGAGAGCGAGAGAGAGAGCGGCAGAGCGGCGCACAAAUCCUAACAGCCUGUAAGAGCGUUCAUAAGCUGAAAAAAAAAGGGCUAAAAUUGCACUGAAAAAAAUCAGCGAAACAGCGAGUCUGCAAAAGGUGAACCGCGAUGGAGCAAGGGAACACUGUAUUCAGUACUGUACAUACAAAACAUGCAAUUACAGAACACCACGUCUUGUCAAAACAUCUUCCUGCUGGAAAAUUUAAGUGAACUGACUUUUGAGACAGUGCCCUCUGCUGGAUUCAUAGUUGACACACUCUUUUUUUUCUCUCUCCUGUGGAUAGCGCCAUUAAACUUUCUAUUUACGUUACCAUAUAAAAAAGAAAUUACAGUAUCGCGGUUAACUGGUUCCAGACCUGACCGUGAUAAGUGAAUUUCUGCAAAGCAGGAUUCCUUAUUUGUGGAUGAAAUAUUUUUAUAGUUAGAGCAGAGAAAACCUGUUUACACCCUUUUUUUUUAUCAGGGAUUAUUGUGCCUGUUGUGAGACAAUUCAAACCUGCCAUAGAAGCCUGUUGUUCUGGCAAUCAUGUCUGGUGAUUAUGUCUCACCGAACAGUAACAUUACUGACACCUAGUGACCAGUGUAGAACACUACAUAUCAUGUCUUUGAAUAUGUCUUCUGAAUGCCUUAUAUAUUUGUAUUUUAGUUAAUUUACAUUUAAAAUAAAUUACAUGUAAUUCAUUUAAUUUACGCAAGAAAUAUGUAAGAUUUGCUUAAAUAUGCAUACAAGUAUAACCCUAAACCCUAAACCCUAAGCGUUGACUAAAAACAGGUCGUAGAGAACCACAAAACAGCAAUGAUUUGUUCAUUAAUAUAUUUUGACAACCCCGUGAUAGAGUGAAGCUGAAAAAUCUGAACAGCGAUGUGGUGAGGGACAUCUGUAUUUACAAUUUAAAGCAGAGAAAAUACGUUUGCUAAUAGGCUGGGAUCUGCGGUAGUAUGAUAUAGAUAUAAUGAAUAUUUAUUAAAAAUAUAUAUUUUUUAGAAAGUUUGAAAGUUCAAAAAGUUGUACUACAGUAUUUUUAGGUGUUAACAUUUUGUUUUUCAAAUUAAGUCAGAGUAAUAAGGAUUAGAGAAAUCCACCUUUUUUUGCUUCUCCCUAUCGGUGAGAAGCAUAAUUAAUUUUUUACCGUCACAGUUUUGCUUCAAAGAUGUGGCUUGUACUUGCAGGAAAUUGACUUGUGGCCUAUGAGGUGAGUUAAAUGUACUUCUUCAGCAAAGUACUGUAUAAUUUCAUUUGUAUUUGAAUUUGAGUAUCACUCCAUAUACCCCAGUGGUACUCGUACCACAUUUUGAGAAUCAGUGCCACAGAGGAAUGUUCUAGUUCUAAUAAAGUCUCUACAAGCUCUCUGAACAGUAAUUAGCACAGGCGUGAGAGCUAACACAACAUGAGAGAGGAUCUGCGGUCACCAUGGCAAUACUUGAUGCAAUUCUCUUCAUCACAAGUCAUCGCAGGGUGCCAUCACAAUUUUUAGUUCCAUGGAAAGUCCAAAUGCAACAUAGUCUUGUCAGGGGCAGCACAUCCAGGCAGUGCAAGCCUUUAUGACAAGGGUGUCCAAAGUGAGGCCCGGGGACCAUUUAGGGCCUGCAGCAGUUUUUUUGUUGGCCCGUGCCACAUUCAAAAUAGAAUUUAACAAGGAAACAAAAAACAAACAGCAGCAGCAGCAAAAAUAGAAAAUUCAGCAGUAAUUUCACAAGUACAAAGUCAGAAAAAAAGAAGUUGUAAUCUAACCAGAAGUCGUAAUAUUAUGAGAAAAAAUUACAUCAUUUUAGUAGUAUAAAGUUGAAAUAUUAAUGUAAAAAAAAUAUUUUUUAAAGUCAUAAUAUUAUGAGAAGCAAAAAAAACAACAACAUAAUUUAUGAAUGGGUUUGCAUUAAUAUUUGGAAAUUAGUUUGGGGAAGCCGUUAUAAUAUAAUUGGAAUAAGGUCAAAAUAUUAUGGGGGCAAAGUCAUAAUAUUAUGAGAAGAAAAUUUACAAGAAAAAAGUUGAAAUAAUUCAAAAUUAAAACAAACAACAACCAACAGCACAAAAAACAGCUGCAAUUUUACGAGUAUAAAGUCCAAAUAUUAACAGAAAAAGUUGUAUUCUAAUGAGAAGUCACAAUUUUAUGAGGAUAAACUUGUAAUAUUACGUGGAAAAACUAUCAUUUUAGUAGCAUAAAGUUGAAAUAUUAGAGGAAAAAAAUAUUCAAGUUCAUACUACUAAUAUGCUUUUUUACCUAUAUGACAAAGUACAUAUACAGUAUAACUUCUUAGCAUAUCUACAUGUGUUACUUUACAAAAUAUCACAGUGGCCCCUGCAUUCUUUUAUUUUUCAGUAUGUGGUCCUCAAAGGAAAAAGUUUGGACACCCCUGCCAUAAGAUAACGAUAAAUAUGACCUUUAGUGUCAGCAACUGAAACAUGCCGUGUCAGCACAGUAUUCAAUCGCCACAUGAGGUGUGCCUAAUAAAGUCACAUUUCCUGCUCCUGCUACAAGCCCGCUGUGGCUCUACGGUGGACGGUGGUGGUCACGCGCGGAUCAAUUCAUCUAAUUAAGGGUAACAGGAGUCGCAGCAUCUUUAACAGGAAAUUGAUCCCAUGUAAGAAUGAUCCAGCAUGUGGCCCUCUCUGCAACAGACUUCAGCAGCAGGACAUAGCAUACUUACACUGCUAAAUACCACUUAAUUGGAAGUAGACUUUCUAAUGCAUGACUCAAAGACGUUGCACACAACUACUGUAUUUCCUCACAAAGUGACCUCUGCUCCAGUCGACACCGCACCUGUCUACUUGAAGAACUCACUUCCAAGAUACACCUCAUGAAAAAGUCCACCCCUUUAGAAAAAAAGUUACACUGCAUAUUUCUAUAUAGUUUAUGCCAAGACUGUUAAAAAAAACCUUCCAAAAGACGAUUAAAGUGAUAAAGAACAUGCAGUCUUAUCUUGCAUAUUGCCCCUAUUCAGUUGUAUUUAUUUAUUUAUUAACAUUUAUUUGGAAAAAAAAUGACUACACAGUGGUUGCCUUACCGUUAAUAACUGCCUGAUAGUCAAUGCUGUUAACUAAAUAAAAACCCCAGGAUGCUAUUUGAAGGAUUAUGUGAUUGUUUCACUUCAAACUAUUUUUUAUUUUGCUUUAAGAGUCUGGUCAGAUUAUUUGCAGUCAUUUCCUCCCUUCCUUUCCUCAUUGUGCUUCCUUUUUCCCCCAUAAUCUUCCAUAAUCUUCUGUGAUUAAUGCUCAUUCUUCCAUCCCAUCUCCAGGCCGCCACUGCAGUGCAAGUGUAUCUUAAAGUCUUGACUGUAGUGUUAAGUUUCUAGCGUUCGCCUUUUCUCUCUAACGAGGAGUCAGUAAGCGGUUAACACAUAUUUGCGGCGGGAGCCACGUAAAGCGGCGAGCCUGACGUGGAUGGACAGUUUUUUAAAAGGAGAUCUUUUUGGGGUGACGAGAAAGAGGGGCCACAAGUUAAUCAUGAAUUCCAGAAAAUUCACACGGCCUGCUCCUGCUCAUGUCGUUACCAAAGUAGCCUCUCUGAACUCCAACCACCACCAUUUUAUGACAUCUGUCUGACAGACCCUUUUUUCCCCCUCCUUUUUUCUCCCCCUCUUUUCGGGCCAAUUGACUGAGCAUUGCACUGACACACUUUGGGAGAGGAAAAAAAAGACUCCUGUAGACACAUUCCAGAUGACAUCACUCAACAGACAACAUCAUGGAACACCAAGGCCCACUCUACUGUAUCAUGAACUGAGCAACGUAAAAAAAAAACAACCCACUUGUCUUCACAAGGGACUGAAUGAACAAUGUAGCAUCUCUGCUAACACACUGUAGCAUUCGUUGGCUGGGAGACGACUUGACUUGAAGACUGAGGGAUUUAUGCAGUUUAGAUAUCACUCCCCUCUUUUCUCCCCUCUUCUUUUCCAGUGAAGACACACAGACGGUACAUGAGAGAAAAAAGCAUCGGUCUUCACCUUUAAAAACCCUUCUGGAGAGGAGAAUAAGAUGGCUAUCAUAAUCAACAAACUUUGUCUUCCAUUCACUUCUAAAGAACACAAGUAAAAGCUACUAUGACUAAAUAAAACCCAUGUAGCAUCAAAUGGCUUUCAGUCGACGUUAAAGACCUCCCUUUUCCUCUCAUGUACUAAAAAAAGGGGGAUACCUGCUGAAUGACCUUCUGUGAUGUAAUGUCGAUUAGCAAAAUGAGUCCACCUGGGGUACAAGGUCUUCUAAAAACAAUCCUUAAUCUUUUUAACUGCCACUUGCAUCCACUCUCCAUUUAAGUGAAGCACAUAGAAGCAAAAUAAGAGCUACUGCGGCUCGAGCGGAAAAUAGACUUAAGGAUACAGGGGCAGACUGUUGUCAGUCUUAGGCCAAUAACAAUUCUGUUUAAAUUACAAUAAAAAGGAGAAAGGACACCCUCCCCUCUAUGCCCUAUGCCACAAGGACACUUUUUACACCCGUUGUAACUGUCCAUUAGCUGGGACCAAUCAGAUAAUAUAUUCCCUGCCCCAACACACACGCACACACACUCAAAGGGCCUGCACUGCCAUCAAGGCACAAGAACCCCCCUUCCCCCAGAUGAAUACUGCCCAAAAUCCCUCUGCGGUACUCUCGCUGCUAGCGGGUUGCUUCACUGGUGAGUCGAUGUCAAGAUGAGAACGGCCCUCGAGAAGCAGAAGCGGACCAAGUAGAGAGAGCAAGUGUAUAAAAAAAAAUCUAUAUUUUGAUAACAACAAAUCUAUGGCAUCGGAAUUAGAAGCUGGUCCAAGAUGGGAGGAUGAGAAAAUACAUUUUAAAAAAUCUGAUGCAAAAAUGAAAAAAAUGCCAUGAAGAAAUAAAGAUAAAAUGACAAGAGAUGGCGGACUUCCUGUAAGUUGGCCAUGUGCACUGACUGAAAAGACUGAGCAAAGACGGACUCAUGCAUUGAAGAGAAUGGAUGGACGCAGAGUUAAACAAAGAAGGGUUUGCCGUGGGGGGGAUGAUGCAUUUUUGUAACUUUGUUUACCAGCAUGACUACUUUGCAUGACUGUCUUUUCUGCAAGCCCUUAGUUGAAGACGAGGGUGCUAGAGAUACAAAAACCUAUAUAUAAAAUGAUUUAAAAAAAUGUUAUAUGCAAUUCAUGUUUUGAACAAACAAAAAAAGAUUAUAAUGAAAGAGAAGAUCUAUUUUGUUUUUAAAAGUUGAAAAAAAUGUGAAUAUUCAAAUGUAUGUUUGCAACGUACACCCUGACCUAUGUUUUUGUUGGAUGAAAUCUCUCUGCUCCUACUGCCCUACUUUCCUCAUUCCAGGGUUUGCAUCCAUGCUAACAUAGUUUGACUUUAAAAAUGCAAUCAAGCGGUAUAUUUUCCGACCAUCUCAUUCACCAUUGUCGUCCCGGAGUUUGCCGAUUUAGCUUUUGCGCAAAGUCGAACUGUUUGCACGACAGUAGCAGCAGCAGCAGCGACUCGAAAACAAAAAGCUCUCUGUACUUUGCUUGAUUAACACUCAUUGUUUGCUUUCAUUAGUUUUUUCUUUUGGCAAUAAUACAAGACAAGUUGAGACAUGACUGUAGCAGGGCAAACUGGACAGAGGUUCUGUUCCCUUAGGCCUAAAGAUGGACAUUCUAAAUAGACAGUGGAACCUUAAAAGACGAACAUAAUCCAUCCAUCCAUCCAUCCAUUUUCUACUGCUCGGAUUUAGAGGUGCAAACCGAUUCAGUGAGAGUUGAAGGUCAUGGCUCGUUCGAGCCAGCAGGACCACAUCAUCUGAAAAAAGCAGAGACCCAAUCCUGUAGCCACCAAACCAGAACCUCUAAACGCCCUGGCUGCGCCUAGAUAUUAUUCUGUCCAUAAAAGUAGUAAACACAAUCGGUGACAAAGGCAGCCCUGGCAGAGUCCAACCCUCACUUGGAAACGGGUCAGACUUACUGCCGGCAGUGCGAAACAAGCUCUGACACUGGUCAUACAGGGAACGAACAGCCUGAAUUAGCUGGUCCGGCACCCCAUAUUCCCAGAGUACUCCCCACAGGAUUCCUUGAGAAACACAGUCGAAUGCCUUCUCCAAGUCCACAAAACACAUCAAGGACCCUGCCGAGAGUGUAGAGUUGGUCCAAAGUUCCACGACCAGAACGAAAACCACACUGCUCCUCUUAAAUCCAAGAUUCAACUAUCCGGAAGAUCCUCCUCUCCAGAACGCCUGUACAGACCUUAAUAGGAAGGCUGAGAAGUGUGAUCCCACGAUCGUUGGAACACACCCACCACCCUUCUUAAAAAGGGGUCUGCCAAUCUAGAGGCACUGCCCCCGAUGUCCAUGCGAUGCUGCAGAGUCGUGUCAACUUAGACAUGCCCACAGCAUACAGGGCCUCUCAUCCACCCCUGUGUCCCUGCCACCGAGGAUAUAUUUGACAACCUCGGCAACCUCAGCCCUAGAGAUAGAAGAGCCCAUCGUGGAGUCCCCAGGCACUGCUUCCUCAUUGGAAGACGCGUCAGUGGGAUUGAGGAGGUCUUCGAAGUAUUCCUUCCACCGGCCCACAACAUCUUGAGUCGAGGUCAGCAGCACACCAUCCCCACCAUACACGGUGUUGAUUGUGCUCUUCUUCCCCCUCCUGAGAUGACGGAUGGUGGUCCAUAUUCUCUUGGAAGCCGUCUGGAAGUCGUUCUCCAUGGCUUCUCCAAACUCCUCCCGUGUCCGAGUUUUUGCUUCAGCGAUCGCCAGAGCCUUGUCCUGCCGGUACAUGUCAGCUGCCUCCAGAGUCCCAUUGGUCAAAAAGGCCUGAUAGGACUCCUUCUUCAGCCUGGCGGCAUCCCUUACCACUGAUGUCCACCAACAGGUUCUGGGAUUACUGCUACGACAGACACCGACCACCUGUGAUCAGCUGCCUCAACAAUGGAGGCACAGAACAUGGCCCAUUCGGAGUCAAUGUCUGCCGCCUCCCUCGGAACAUGGUCGAAGCUCUCCCGGGGGUGGGAGUUGAAACUCAUUUUGUCGGAACUCUGCCAGACGUUCCCAGCAGACCCUCACAAUGCAUUUGGGCCUGCCAGGUCUGACCGGCAUCUUGAGGAACUUGAGGUUCCACAGUGUAAGGUUGUAGCUCAGGGAGGAGAUGAACGUAACAAAUUGUGAAAAGUAAUUCGCCAUUAUAAAACCUUUACUCAUCCUUGAUUAUACUAUUUUUCAGUAAUUUGCUUCCUCACUCUAUCGUGGUUUUUCAAAAAUGAAUUAAUAAAUGAUCACUGUUUUGUGGUUGACAAUGGCCUAUUAUUAGUAAAAAAAUAUUUAAAGACAAGUCAUUUGUAGUACUGUGCUCACUAGACAUCAGUAAUGUUACAUUGAUCAUACAUUACCAAAGAUUAGAUUACUUUAGCACUGCAUGUAGUCAGCCAUGGCAUGUCCGACAUGAUAGAGUGAAAAAAUGUUAUCCAAUUCCAUGUGGAAGUGGUUAGUUUUUGGCUUCUUGCUUUGUCCUUCCCCACUCCAUUUUAAACAUAAGUUUAGAACAAGUAAUUUGGAGGCUAACUAGUUACCUUGGUGGAGGCGGCCGUCUCUUAUGUCCUUGCAGUGAUCCCGUAGCCUGCGCAAUAGAGUUGCGCAUUGUGGUGUAUACAAAGAAUAAUAGGAGUGUAAAGGUGAUUAUAGGGGUAUCAUUUCAUGUCUACAGGGCUUUAAUAAUGGUAAAGAAAACGUAUUUAGAAAGUCAAAGAGGUUUUCUGUGCUAAAUGAAAAUAUAAAUUUUAUUAAUAUUGAUUCACGGAAAUUCACUUAUCGUGCUUGGGUCUGGAACCAAUUAACAGCGAUAAUCAAGGGACGACUGUACCUUCAAACACUUCGAAAAGUAACGACAAGAGAAACUAGAGAGCUAAUAGUGUUAGCAGGUAACGUUUGCAGUCAGCUUUGCUCCAAUCUUUUUUUACAUUUUUAACAACUCUUAUAACGGUGGUCACCCACGCAGUCCGGCCCUGCACUCGCCGGACCCCGAACCCGUGUUGACCGAUCUCUACUAAAUGAGAGUGGAGCAGCGCUAUCCGACGAGCUUAAAGUCCGACCUGACAACAACUGAAAACUGCACUUUUAAAAAUCUUCCACAAUCCCAUCAUCCACAAUCCUUGUGAUGUGAGACAUGAACAAACAUCUUUCUUUUGUCUGUGUCUUCUAAAGAUAUAAAAACAGCCAAAAAGAGCCAGGUAAUUCAUGCACGUAAUGGGAUGUGCCUAUUCCGCCUAGAAAGCCAGCUAUUAAGACCUCCAACAAUGUUUUAUGGUUUUAUAAGCAUGCUGUGACCAUGUAGUAACAGAUACAUUCAUGAUAACAUGUCAUACUUACAAUAUUUUGGUCAUUUUAAGCAUUACCGGAACUUCCUUCCUGGGUCUAUUGCUUUUUAUAUCCUUAGAAUGCACAGAAAAGAGAAAGACGUGUGAUCGUGUCUCACAUAAGGAUUGGAAAUUUUUUUUAAAAGUGCAUUUGUCCUUUAAAGCGUCAAGGAGUGAGGUUUAAAUGCACAGUCAUCCCAGCUAGCAACUGUUACACUUCUAUUGGAUUGAGUGUGGAAAAAAUUCAAAAAGCCAAAGAAAAAGCAAAACCCGUCAAUCCUUCGGUACUAGCUGAACUGAGGUAACAUUUAGUGUGGCGGCACACGUAGACCUUCAAGUUUCCGAGGCAUUUCCUCCCCUGAAAUUUGGUUUGUGAUGUUCUCAUUUUGAGGUUCCACUGUGUAUGAAAAAGAUCAAUAUGAGGUUCGAGACACAAGGAGAGGUUUCAAGGUUUCAAGAACCGUCAUUCCAAAGUUCGGUUGUUAAGGACUCAGGUCGUGUCGAUGGCGUGUGUGGACGUUCAGUAGGUGUUGAUUUCUUUGAGACAUUUUAGAUGAUGUGAACCCCCCACAGUGAUGUGUAGAGAUUUAAAAAAAAAAGACGCAUGCAUUAUGACUUGAUAAUCUUAAAGCGGGAAGGAGGUGGGGGGGACAAAGUCUCAACAUCGCCUCCUCUUCCUCCGUUUGUCAUGAAUCCUUAAAAAAAACAAUGACCACUGUGCUGUGUUGUAGAGCAGAAACGUCUUCCUCCCAGAGGGAAAUGGCAACACACCAUGGUGUGUAAAAGUAGCUUGUCUUUAUUUUGAAAUUAUUGUUUCAUCCAUGCAACAUCCCAACUGGCUUGUUACAAGUGACUCCAAAAAAAUGAUGUCAGUCGAGUGUUUAGGAGACGAUCCCAGUGUCCACCAAGGGGAGAUGGAUGUUUUUUUGAUUGAUCGAUUGAUGACCUCAUCCUUAUUUUUUUUUCCAAGUGACUUCCAUGCAGGCCCUGCUGGUUCAGGGUGCCCUGUAGCUCGGGUAGCUUCUUCUUUGCAUUCCUGUCAUGUUGCAAGGUGGAAGGCUCUACAAGUCUAUGCUAGCAUUACAGGGUCUAUCUGCAACUACAUGGUCUUUUACAUAUUUUGCCUCACUGCCGUGGUCAAUGAAUUUGUCAAAUCGGUGCAUGCACACAUUUCACCCAGCUGUUCGUGUGUGUGCGUGUGUGUGUUUGAAGGCCAAGAAUUGUCUAUUUCUCAAUUUAAAAAAGAUGUCUUUCCAUUUUUUAGUCGAUAAACACUUGAAAGGUUUUUUUUUUAUUUUCUUGCAAGCUGUCACAAAAUGUAUGUUAAGGUGUUUCCUGCUCUCAAACCCACAACAUUCAUUUUCUUUACGUGCCUGUUUGCGUGUAGAUGUUUCUGGUUUGUUCACUCGAACACACUGUAUGCAAUCUGCACCAGGAAUGCCACUGAUUGACACUUACUGUAACGCUCCCUAAAGUGGGGAUAUUUGGAAUUGUGCGUCGUGGCUUAAUGGUUUAAUGGUUUAUUUUACAUAAUAAUGAGACCAGAGAAAUCUCAUUCUUUCUAGAUUAUUCUAAUGAUGCACAUUAUCGGACACGGCACAUGAGAUUUUGCAGACCGUCAUGCAUCCUCACAAGUUUUCCAAAGAUAAAAGAUGUAUGUUCAUUAGUAUCGAGAGCCACUGCACUGCGGUCUCAGCAGGAGAGCAAAUGCAAAGAUGAGGUGGUCACUGGGGUAAUCUGGGUGUGACUUAAACCGGAUUUUUAUUUUUGGAAAUGUCCUAACACAUCGAGAACUGUACAAAGUAUAUUUCAACGGAAUGUUCAUGAUCUAUCUUUUUAUAUUUUGAAGAGAGAGAGAAAAAAAAUAGAAACAUAUCAAUAAAAAUGUCAUAAUUUAACAUAUUUGUACUACUGAGACUUAAAAAUGUAUGAAUGUCAAUGUGAACUAAUGUGAAACCAAUCUCCAUAGCAGCUUGAAUGAAUUAACUGGUUCAAAGUCAUUGAGAUGCUUUUCUUUUUUUUCAGAGAAAAUUGCUUCGAAUCAUUGAGAUGAACUUAAAAUAAAUGGGGAAAAUUUACAA